GUGCCAGCAGCCGCGGUAAUUCCAGCUCCAAUAGCGUAUAUUAAAGUUGUUGCAGUUAAAAAGCUCGUAGUUGAACUUCAGGCCUGGUGGGUCGGUCCGCCUCACGGUGUGUACUGAUCGAUCGGGCCUUACCUCUUGGUGAGCCUGCAUGUCGUUUACUCGGUGUGUAGGGGAACCAGGAUUUUUACUUUGAAAAAAUUAGAGUGUUCAAAGCAGGCAUAUGCCCGAAUACAUUAGCAUGGAAUAAUAGAAUAGGACGUGCGGUUCUAUUUUGUUGGUUUCUAGGAUCGCCGUAAUGAUUAAUAGGGAUAGUUGGGGGCAUUAGUAUUCAGUUGCUAGAGGUGAAAUUCUUGGAUUUACUGAAGACUAACUACUGCGAAAGCAUUUGCCAAGGAUGUUUUCAUUAAUCAAGAACGAAGGUUAGGGGAUCGAAAACGAUCAGAUACCGUUGUAGUCUUAGCAGUAAACUAUGCCGACUCCGAAUCGGUCGAUGCUCAUUUCACUGGCUCGAUCGGCGCGGUACGAGAAAUCAAAGUUUUUGGGUUCUGGGGGGGAGUAUGGUCGCAAGGCUGAAACUUAAAGAAAAUUGACGGAAAGGGCACCACCAGGAGUGGAGCCUGCGGCUUAAUUUGACUCAACACGGGAAACCUCACCGGGUCCGGACAUAGUAAGGAUUGACAGAUUGAUGGCGCUUUCAUGAUUCUUAUGUGUGGGUGGUGGCAUGGGCGGUUCUUAGUUGGUGUGAGUGAUUUUGUCUGCGUUAUUUCCAAUAACCGAACCAAGACUCUUGACCCUGCUAAAAAAGACG
rnacentral:rRNA from 1 species